rnacentral:miRNA from 4 species
AAAGUUAGAGAAGUUUGACUU